AGUGAACGCUGGCGGUAGGCCUAACACAUGCAAGUCGAACGGCAGCACAGUAAGAGCUUGCUCUUACGGGUGGCGAGUGGCGGACGGGUGGGGAAUACAUCGGAAUCUACUUUUUCGUGGGGGAUAACGUAGGGAAACUUACGCUCAUACCGCAUACGACCUACGGGUGAAAGCAGGGGAUCUUCGGACCUUGCGCGAUUGAAUGAGCCGAUGUCGGAUUAGCUAGUUGGCGGGGUAAAGGCCCACCAAGGCGACGAUCCGUAGCUGGUCUGAGAGGAUGAUGGGCCACACUGGAACUGAGACACGGUCCAGACGCCUACGGGAGGCAGCAGUGGGGAAUAUUGGACAAUGGGCGCAAGCCUGAUCCAGCCAUACCGCGUGAGUGAAGAAGGCCUUCGGUUUGUAAAGCCCUUUUGUUGGGAAAGAAAAGCAGCAGGUUAAUACCCCGCUGUUCUGACGGUACCCAAAGAAUAAGCACCGGCUAACUUCGUG
rnacentral:rRNA from 1 species